rnacentral:tRNA from 1 species
GCCACCUUAGCUCAGGGGUAGAGCAGCGCCCUCGUAAAGCGCAGGUCGCGGGUUCAAAUCCCGCAGGUGGCUCCA